AGGAUUAGAUACCCUAGUAUUAUUAGGGAAUUAUAUUAAUAUAUGUAUUGAAAAUAAAAAUUAUUUGGCGGUUAAUUAUUUUUAGAGGAGCUUGUUAAUUUGUAAGAAUUUACUCUUUAUAUUUUAAUUAUAGAAAGCUUAUUCAUCUCCGUUAUUAAAUAGUUAUUAAUAAAAAUUAUUUUUGUAUUUCAGGUCAAGAUGUAGUAUUUAUUAUUAUUAAUUAGCUACAUUUUUGAAUAAAUGGAUUUUUGGUUAAUUAAUUUAAGAAGAAAUUGAAUUUGAUUGUAAUAUUUAUUAGAAAGUUAGUAUGAAUUUUUAUAGUUAAUGUACAUAUUGCCCGUCAUUUCUGUAGGUUAGAGAGAAUAAGUCGUAACAAAGUA
rnacentral:rRNA from 1 species